GUCUCGGAGAGGGGAUGGUGGCGCGGGCCGCCUGAAAGGUGAGAUAGAAUAAUGUCAAGUUGCCCUUGUAUUGUGUUUAACUUUUUGUUGUUCAACGGG